rnacentral:rRNA from 1 species
GUCCAUGGCCAUACUACCCUGAACAAGCCCGAUCCCAUCUGAUCUUGGAAGUGAAACAGGGUCAGGCCUGGUUAGUACUUGGAUGAGAGACCACCAAGAAGACCAGGUGCUAUAGAUG